rnacentral:misc_RNA from 1 species
CCGUGCCUGCAGGGUCUACUAUGCUCUUUGGCUGCUAGGCUCUGCAUCCGGCCCAUCCUUGUCUAUUUUACCUGUUGCUUUGGGGAGACUGUAGGCGGUUUUUAGCGCCCCUACUACCCAAAGGGCGUGGUCCUUUGGGCUCGCUCUCCCCGAACGCCUAAGUAAAUACUAGUUAAACAUAGUGGUCUUAGUGGGCUUGAUAAUCAAUUU